UCACCGCCGCGGGCGUCGCAAUCCUCAUCCUUCCCCCCCCACCCCCAGAUGGACGCUGGUUCGGCCAGGGGCCGCUGGAGUGCGACUUCGUCUGACGUAGGGCUUCAGUGAGGCACGUAGUAGGUCUUAUAUAACUAUUGAACGAACUGCUCAAAGUCCUGCCCAUAGCCUUAGACGGAGAACUUUCUGCCCCCUCGCAGAGCGCAUGUUUUACAGCGAGAGAAGGAAUAAACAAAAUAAUUUCAGAUCUUGAUAAGCGCUAUGAGAAGAAAAUUUAAAACAGGGUGAUAUGACAGGCAGUGACUUGGAAGGUCAUUGGAUGGUCAGAGAAGGCCUCUGAACAAGUGACAUUUGGCCUGAGUUUCAACAAGGAGACAGCUGUGUGAAGAUCAGGCGUGAACUAGGCUGGGGCUUAAUGAAGUGCGGAGGAACAGGAGGCGGAAGGCCCACCAGUUGCUGUGUGGAAAUGGACUGUAUGGGGGGAAGAGCUUGAAGCAGAGGAGACUAGAGGCCUCCAGGAGAGAGAUGAGAUGCUCAGACUCAGCAACAGGACAAGCAAUCAAUCAUACGUAUCUGCUUUCCUGGACAAACAUUGUCUUCCAGUCCUGAUGAGAACAAUCCUGAUGAUUUAACAGUUUUCCAUCUCUGAGAGCUAAUCACGAGGGAGGCUGGCUGGAGUCCUGUGUCAUCCAGCAUCUCUGCCAGUUUCUGCAGAAAGCCCUGAAGUGUGCCAAGGUUCCCGUGUCUGUGGAUACAACUCUAGUGGUGCCCACUCCCUUUGCUCCUUGCAGCCGCGAGAAGAACCGUGCAGGUGAGGGGCACAGAAAAAGGUUGGUGUGUCCUCCAGCCUCCAUGGGUGAUACCUGAAGACUCCCCUGGGAA